GACGAACGCUGGCGGCGUGCUUAACACAUGCAAGUCGAACGGAAAGGCCCUGCUUUUGUGGUGUGCUCGAGUGGCGAACGGGUGAGUAACACGUGAGUACCCUGCUCUUGAUUUUGGGAUAACUUCAGGAAACUGGGGCUAAUCCAGGAUAGGAUCCUCCGCUGCAUGGUGGGGGUUGGAAAGUCUCGGCGUGUGGGGAUGGACUCGCGGCUUAUCGGCUUGUUGGUGGGGGAGUGGUUGACCAAGGUUUUGAAGGAUCCCCGGCCUGGGAGGGUGACCGGCGACAUGGGUACUGAGGGAGGGCCCAGAGUCCAACGGGGGGCAGCAGUGGGAAGUAUUGCACAAUGGUCGCAAGCCGGAGGCGGCAGCGCCGGGGUCGGAAUGACGGCCUGUGGGUGGAAAACCGCUGUCGCCUGGUACGAAGCUGGAGUGACGGUAAUGGGUAAAGAAGCACCGGCUAACUACGUG
rnacentral:rRNA from 1 species